AUGAUGGUGGAGGGUUCGGAUGAGGAUAUCCGGAACCUCAGAUUCCUUCUCCUUUGCUUUCAGGAGAUGUCAGGCCUCACGAUCUACAUUGCCAAAAGUGAGGUCAUGGUGCUCGGAUAUUCCCCGUCGGAAGCCCAGCGCAUUGCCAACCGCUUGAAUUGUUGUUUGGGGUCCUUUCCGACCACCUACCUUGGCUUGCCGGUUAGUGACAACCGUCUACUGGAGAAAGACUUCUGCCCUAUAGUUGCCAGGCUCCAACCGCGGAUGGAGCCUUGGCAAGGGAGAUGGCUAUCCAAAGCCGCUAGAGUGAUCCUGAUGAACUCCUCCCUUAUUAGCCUCAUGAUGUACCUCAUGGGAUUCUAUAGUUUACAUGAAUCCCUCCAUCAGGAGGUGACCAAAAUCCUCUCCUUGUUCUUCUGGGCUGGCGAGAACAAUAAA
rnacentral:rRNA from 1 species